rnacentral:rRNA from 1 species
GACGAACGCUGGCGGCGUGCCUAAUACAUGCAAGUAGAACGCUGAAGGAGGAGCUUGCUUCUCUGGAUGAGUUGCGAACGGGUGAGUAACGCGUAGGUAACCUGCCUGGUAGCGGGGGAUAACUAUUGGAAACGAUAGCUAAUACCGCAUAAGAGUAGAUGUCGCAUGACAUUUGCUUAAAAGGUGCAAUUGCAUAACUACCAGAUGGACCUGCGUUGUAUUAGCUAGUUGGUGAGGUAACGGCUCACCAAGGCAACGAUACAUAGCCGACCUGAGAGGGUGAUCGGCCACAAUGGGACUGAGACACGGCCCAGACUCCUACGGGAGGCAGCAGUAGGGAAUCUUAGGCAAUGGACGGAAGUCUGACCGAGCAACGCCGCGUGAGUGAAGAAGGUUUUCGGAUCGUAAAGCUCUGUUGUAAGAGAAGAACGAGUGUGAGAGUGGAAAGUUCACACUGUGACGGUAUCUUACCAGAAAGGGACGGCUAACUACGUG